rnacentral:lncRNA from 1 species
GUUUAGGUGCAACUCCACACUUACUCACGAGUGACGACAACUGCUGAUCAAGAAAAGUGACCGUGCCCUCCCACGUAGCCACGUUCCCAGCUUAUGUAAAGCACAUCACAAGAUUCACGGCCGCAGUGUUGAAGGAAGACCUUGGCAAGUGAAGCGAAUGAUAAUAGCAUCUGACUUCAACAGCACGCAAGGAGAAAUCCGUUUGUCGCACGAGCAUCCUGUCUAUCCCAGAAGAUGUUCAUACUGGUCUUUGAAAAAAGAGAGAGCUCACGUUCGUACUCCAUCAUCACAAGCCAGGCACCAACGGCUGCAAGGAAGUAACAGCCUGGUAUCAUGCUUGGCCCCUCGCAGCACGCCUAUAAAAGCCAAGUUAUGGAGAACAGAACAAAAGGUCGGCCAGAGCAAGACUCCAUACCUUGAAGAUGGCUGAACCUCAGCACACGAGCAGCAAUGGAGCUGCUCACAGUGAUGCGGACUCUGAAUAUGCAUCAGAGAAAAUGCCACCAAAGAGGUUACAGAGAUUUGAUUCACUGCAUAUGGAGGCUGGAAAGAUUCCUGGUGGAUCAACACAUGCAGCCAAGGUAUGAUCUCCAGUAACUCUUGUUCAAUUAGACAACAAUUCUUCCAUUGCUUGAAGUUGCAUAACUGCAUGGACAUAUUUUAAUUCUCAUCAGUUUAAGCAAAAAAUUUCAAAGUAAAUUUCACAUAAAGAUACCAUUGUGCACAAAACAAUCCAGAUCAUAUAUAUCUAGUUUUGUAAAGCACGGUUCUGCUACAACCUAAAAUAACAAUUGAAUUAUCAUAUCAGUCACCAUCUUAUGUGAAGGAACUAAGCAUAUCACUGUAACAGCUACUUUCAUCUAAGGAUUGCAUGAUUAAACGCAUAUGAUUCACAUUUUUGUGGCAAACACAAUCUGAUUCAAAGUUUGCACUUUAAUACUGAAGGUUGGCUGGGCAACCACACUACAUUUGGCAUUCCAAAGCAUAGGUGUGGUUUAUGGCGACAUGGGUACUUCUCCUCUCUAUGUUUUCUCCAGCACCUUUACAAACGGGAUUAACAACACAGAUGACCUUCUUGGAGUCAUGUCUCUAAUUAUCUACACUGUGAUUCUCCUUCCCUUGAUAAAAUAUUGUUUCAUUGUCCUGCGAGCUAACGACAAUGGUGAUGGUAAGUAAAUAUGCUCCAUAUGACCAUAAGUUUUCUCAACACAACUUCUAGUCAGUGCUUUAAAGGCGACAAGGAAGGCGAGCUGUGUACGCCUUAUCGCCUAGGCAUCAAUGCGGACCUGUUUCCCAAGGCGAGCUGUGUCCGCCCGCCUAGGCAAAAAGAGUUUUUAAUAACUUAAGAAGAAAAUGUUUUUUUACAACUUAGAAGCAAUGUCUUCCUUAAAGAGAAUGUUAAAAAAAUAGAAAAGAAUGGUCACAAAGGGCGACAGGAGUGAAAAUUUGAUAAAUCAACUAGACCUGAAGUCUCCCACCACAUUGGUUUCGACUGCAGUAUAUUUUAUUUUUUGAUUCUGAAAAAAAAAACACAAUAGGGUUACCUUUACUGAGGAUUAUUGAACAUAAGGAUAUAUACGUAUGUAUAGAGACUGUAGUAGCUUUUAACAAUAUAUUUCAAAAUCAUUAAAAUGCUACGUCUGAAAGCAUUAAGCACAUAAUUUGCUAAGAGAAAUUAAAAACCACAAAAGUCAAAUAUUAUUAUUUGUUUCAUGGGACAGUUGACAUGUAUUAUCAAUUUAUGAUAUUGUAGGAGGAACAUUUGCACUUUAUUCAUUGAUAUCACGGUAUGCUAGGAUUAGCUUGAUACCUAAUCAGCAGGCUGAAGAUGCAAUGGUCUCUCGGUAUAAGUUGGAAUCCCCCACAAAUCGUAUCAAGAGGGCUCAUUGGAUCAAGAACAAGAUGGAAAACAGUCCAAAAUUUAAGGUCAUGCUUUUCCUAGUGACAGUCCUGGCAACAUCCAUGGUGAUUGGUGAUGGUGUUCUAACCCCAUGUAUCUCAGGUCAGUUCAAUCUCCUUUCUGGUUUUGCUCAUAUCUGAUAAGAAAUAUUGCAUACAUCGGAUAGUCGAAACACAUGUUGAUUCUUCAAAUAAAUAAAUCAUGAUAUCACUUUUAUGAACUGAUUCGACACGCACUCACUCAUGCUAAAAACACCCGCUGAGUUCAAAUAUGAAAGAGGAAAACUGUCAAUCAGAAUAACAAAACAGAGAGCUAUCCUGCUAAUCUGCCAGGCAUUUUCAUUUGCCACUAUAAUAUAUUUAUAAGGAAAAAACCCACAAGUAUUUCUUUUGCAGUGCUUAGUGCAGUUGGAGGGAUCAAGCAAAAAGCAACAACAUUGACUCAAGGUACACCAAUCUAUGCAUCAUACCAACGAGAGUUACAGAAGUUUAAAUAAAAUUACUAUUUACGAUGAAAACAUCUGACAUUUUUUACCAAUCAACAGGACAGAUUGCUGGCAUCACAAUAGCCAUUUUGAUUGUCCUCUUUCUUGUUCAGCGGUUUGGCACAGACAAAGUUGGUUACACAUUUGCCCCUAUAAUCUUGACAUGGUUCAUCUUGAUUGCUGGUAUUGGAGUUUAUAAUUUGAGCAAACAUGAUACCAGUGUUUUGAAAGCAUUCAAUCCAAAAUAUAUUGUGGACUAUUUCAAAAGAAAUGGAAAGCAGGGAUGGAUUUCUCUUGGAGGGGUUAUUUUAUGCAUUACAGGUACUUUUGCUCCCAGAGUAUGUAACGGAGCUCCGAAAUAUACCUGGGUCUCUAUGAUAUCAGUAUUUUGCUAGCAACAAAAUAUGUACAAUCUUUAUCAACUUUUUUGUAAUGUGGGUUACAUUUUUAUAAAACAGGAACGGAGGCGAUGUUUGCCGACCUUGGUCACUUCAAUGUUAGAGCCGUUCAGGUAAUUGAGCACAUUUCCCAAUUCUGAGCCUUUAAUUUUCUGAAUGCAUGCACCCACUGACUGACCCGUGGAGGAAAGAUUCUGGAAAGCUGUGCUUGUGGAGAAACUCCUUGAGUGUAUGGAGAAAAUAGUCCUAAAAAGCAAAAGAUAUUUUUCAUCUUCUAAAAGAGAUAGUUUGAAGCUUAAACUUCAAAAAUUGCUUUCUGUGUUGCUUCAACUAGGCAUUUAUGAUAAAGUUUUAUUGCACUACAGAUUGGUUUUUCAGUAGUUCUGUUCCCUUCAGUACUGCUAGCAUACAUUGGACAAGCUGCAUAUCUUCGUAUCCACCCAGAAAAUGUUGCAAAUACAUUCUACAAAUCAAUUCCAGGUAUGAACAUAUAAUAAUCAACUAAAGAAUGACAUGGAUUAUCAAUUGAAAGAUUAAAUCUAAUGUAAACUCAUGAAUUUUGUUGUCAGGUCCAUUAUAUUGGCCAACAUUUGUGGUGGCUGUAGCUGCUGCUAUAAUUGCAAGUCAAGCUAUGAUAUCUGGUGCCUUUGCAAUCAUAGCUCAGUCCCAAGUUCUAGGUUGCUUUCCACGAGUUCGUGUGACCCACACGUCAACAAAGUAUGAAGGACAAGUCUACAUCCCAGAGAUCAACUACGCGUUGAUGAUUUUAUGUGUAGCUGUUACAGCUAUUUUCCAAACAACAGAAAAGAUCGGCAAUGCAUAUGGUAAAUUCUCAACUCUAGAUAAAUAUCCCUCCCAAGUCCCAACCCAAGACAUUAACUAAGAAAAAAACAUAAUACAGUACCUGAACAAUCGUUUUAAUUAUAUUAAAUUACUUGAAGUUAUUUAAAGUCACAUGGACUUCAUCAAUACUAAAAAGCUGCAGUAAAGUUGUUCCCAACUUGAUAAGCGCACUCAUGUCUGCCUAGAUUGCAAACAAGUUGGAUGAAUAAGUUACUUUACUCCUCGAAGAACAUUACUUCUCUGGAUGUUAAAUAAUUGAAAUAACCUUACAAGCUUUAAGUAAGCACUCUUACCCACACAGGAUUCGAAUGGAAGAUUGUAUCAAAGAAGUAAAAUGUUGUUGUAGGAAUUCUCAAAAUAAAGACGAAUUUGGAACCAUUGAGUCUUCCUGUAUAUUCCCCAAUUUAGAACUUCCUAUAAAAUGAUCUGACUGAAUGAAAAAAGUUUAUUGAAUCUUCCCAAAAUUCUUAUUCCAUAAGGACUAUUUUUUUAUUUGUGCCAAAAUAACUCUUUAAAGGUAGUGAAAUCGGCUCAUAAGCACCCGGUGGCACUAAUAUGUUAUCACCACAAGAAUCUCAAGAAAGAAGAACAAAUGAAACCAUCAUAGCCAACAUUGUGGAGAUUGUUAGUGAUCUAUAGCUCAUAAGUAAGCUUGUCUUAGUGUAUGGAUGGAGACAAUUUGAUUAAAUCUAAAAGAAUAGUGGAAUUUUCAGUGGCAUGGUGAUCUGUCGGCUUUUUGUUAGAGCAAGUAGGGUCAUAAUCUGCUAGCUUAUCCUGGUAAAAUAAGAUACCAUACAACAAUGAUCCACAUCCGUAAAUGCAUCAUCUUAUUCCAUCCAUGAAUUAUCAGUUACAUCUUAUAUGAUCAGAUAUUCAUACCAUCAUCACAUUAUGCAGGUAUUGCUGUUGUUUUUGUGAUGUUUAUAACAACGCUUCUAGUCACUUUAGUAAUGGUUAUGAUAUGGAAGACAAGUCUGUUAUGGAUCGCACUCUUUCCAGUAAUAUUUGGUGGAGCAGAGCUCAUAUACUUAUCCUCGGCAUUCUACAAGUUUACUCAAGGUGGCUACUUGCCGCUAGUUUUUGCAGCGAUCUUAAUGUUUAUAAUGGCCACAUGGCACUAUGUCCAUGUUCAUCGGUACAAUUAUGAGCUCCAAAACAAGGUGUCAAGUAACUAUGUGGCAGAGUUGGCGUCAAGGCGAAAUCUGGCUAGGUUGCCAGGAAUAGGGUUUUUGUACUCUGAGCUUGUGCAAGGCAUCCCACCCAUACUUCCUCACUUGGUCGAAAAAGUACCUUCCAUUCAUACAGUUCUUGUGAUUAUCUCAAUAAAGUACUUACCUAUCAGCAAAAUAGAAACAAGUGAGCGGUUCCUAUUCCGAUAUGUGGAGCCAACAGAUUACAGGGUAUUCCGAUGUGUGGUGCGUUAUGGAUACAAUGAUAAAGUAGAAGAUCCAAGAGAAUUCGAGGGAUUACUAAUUGAACAUUUGAAACAAUUCAUCCAUGAAGAAUCGUUCUACAGCCAAGGAGGAGAUCAUCUAACAGAAGAAUCAGGAGACGCGAUAGAGCCUUAUGCUGGAGUUCAAGAGGCAAGAUUGUCCAAAAGUUUUUCAGAUAGAAUUGCAACCUUCCCGCCAAAUGGAAGCAUUGAUGAGAUCCAAACAAUACAGAGAGAGAUGGAGGAUGGUGUUGUCCAUAUGCUAGGAGAAACUAACGUGGUGGCAGAGCCAAAUGCAGAUUUCUUUAAGAAGAUAAUAGUUGACUACGCCUACAAUUUCAUGAGGAAGAACUUCAGGCAACCAGAGAAGAUAACUUGUAUCCCUCAUAACAGACUGUUGCGGGUGGGAAUGACAUACGAGAUCUAGAGCAAUGCUAGACUUGGUAAAAUACCACAAUUUGAUCAAAACACCCAGACAGACAGUUAGAUACUGAGAGCAGAGUAUAUCUUUUUCAGUAUAAAGCAAGGAAAGACAAAUGCUAAAGUGAUACAGGCAAGUAACCAGCCUACCGGAGUGAAGUUAAAAGGGAUCGAAGGUUCUAUGCUUACAGAUGGAGAAACUAGAAGAAAGCAUGCAUAGUAGUUAUGCUUCUAGUGUUAUUGAUCAAUUGUCUUCUUUUGAAAAAGUAUGCAUAGUAGUUAUGCUUCUAGUGUUAUUGAUCAAUUGUCUUCUUUUGAAAAACUAGUGUAAAGUGCAUACCUAAAUAUUGUAGCAUACUGCCACAUAGUAAAAUGGAGAAUAACUGGUUCUUUUUUUAGUAUAAAAAAUCCAUAACAAUAUACUCCUAGAGGUUGUAUGUGGUGUUACAUUGUUACUUCGUUAGUCCUAGAAACAGAUGUGGGUAAAUUCUUCCUAAACCAGAGGGCCCAACUUGCUUCUAAAAGUUGAUGUGGACAAAAACACGCAUCAGCUAUUGCCACUGAUUCGAGGCUAAUAAUCAGCAAGCAAGGAGGAAAUUAAUUAUACCAACAGGACUAAACCGUCCUCACAACUCCCGAUCGAGCACAAACAAACAUUAUCACGGUGAUAAAACAGAGCAUCGAAACGGGCAUUUCAUCAAACAGUUGAAGGGGAACGGGCGAGAGAAGCCGGAAAACCACGAAAUUUGACGAGAAUGUACCUUGGCAUCCCAUCCCAGUCUGAUUCACUUGCUCGAGCGAACCAUUGCUGCCUCGACCGGUACCCAAUCCGGUACUUCGUUUCUGCGAUUCAGCAGAGUGCGUGCCCCCAGCGGAUGGUGUCAGAGUUCGGGGGGCGAAAAGGAAAUUGAAACGUGGGAAAAGCCGCGGUGAGAGACAAACGAGCUGACCAGCGGUGAUCAGAGAAAUCUGCGUCACUGCGUGAGGCUUCACCGAGACAUCGGAGGUGAUCGCCGCCGGUUGCCGCGGAAGCGAGGUGGAGAGAGAAAUUUCAAACUCGAGUCGCGCCUGCGGAAAAGCAACCGCGCGGCGGGCUGCAGGGGGUCAC